UACGUAGGGUGCAAGCGUUGUCCGGAAUUAUUGGGCGUAAAGAGCUCGUAGGCGGUCUGUCGCGUCGGAUGUGAAAAUCCAGGGCUUAACCCUGGGCCUGCAUUCGAUACGGGCAGACUAGAGUUCGGUAGGGGAGACUGGAAUUCCUGGUGUAGCGGUGAAAUGCGCAGAUAUCAGGAGGAACACCGGUGGCGAAGGCGGGUCUCUAGGCCGACACUGACGCUGAGGAGCGAAAGCGUGGGUAGCAAACAGG
rnacentral:rRNA from 1 species